GAGUGGUUGAAAAACGAGUUUUAAUGACUACAACCUAAGUGUAUGUAAACUUCUGACUUCAACUGUAUCCCUGGGCACUAAAAACAGUGAGCUGGGGGAGUUGGGACUGGUGUCUUGGUCCUGGGUGCUUCCCCUCUCAACCUGAGCGAGGAGACCGAGGCUUACAGGAGCAUGGGGGCGACGUGGACUCACUCCGGGACCACAGGGACCAGCUGGAGAGCACGCUCCGACACACACAGGACCAGCUGCACAGGGUGACCGAGGAGAACGCCCAACUGAAAUGUAAACUCAGGGAGCAGGGAGAAACGGGGGGGGGGGGGCUGCGAGGCGGAGCAGGGCUGCUAGCUAGGAAGGAAAAGCAUGACAGGAAAUGCCCAGGAAAACAGGGUGCCAAUUCAUAACCUAAUUCCCCAGGUUAGCAGAAAGCUUACCACAACUCCAACCCAGAAUAAUACUACCCUAGUCUUAGCCGAUAAUGACCUAACCCUGUAUGCCUUAGCCCAGGAUGACCUAGCUCUAGCCUUGAACCAGGAGAACCGGGCACAGGGCAGGCGUAUCAAGGAGCUCCUGCCCCACAUAGAGAGCCGGGAUAGUGAGAGGAAGCUAGAGAGGGAGAGCUCCAGGCAGGAGAACCAGGAGCAGGGAGGUCUUAUAACUGAGCUAACCAGGAAGACAGAGGAUGACCUCAACACUAUCAUGGAGCUGCAGCAGAGACUGACUGAGAGCGGUCAGCUAGGCCUCCAACAGGGUGACCAUGGUUUGACCACUGAGAGUGUGGUCAAAAGGGUGAGCAUGUGGUCGGGUCAGUGUUCGUUCAACAGGGUCAACCCCCGGUAGGGUUCGUGACCAGUCUACAAGGUGAUCACACGCCAGGGUCGGUGAAUAGUGGUGAACUACAGGUUGACCACCAGACCGAGUCAGUUAGGGAUCAAAAGACGACCAUUUGACCACAGAGUUAGGGUCCAGGCUUAGAGAGGAGAGGGACGAGCUAAUUGGGUCUCUCAGUGAUCUCAAAGAGGAAAGGGAACAGGUUUCCCUCUCACUCAGGUGUCAGACAGGGAAGCACCAGCUAACACGCUCCGUGUGGGUUCUGAAAGAAGAACGCGACCGGGUCAAUCAGGAACUCUGUGGUUUAAAAGAAGAGAAAGAACAGCUUACAAGGUCUGAAAGAUAACAGACAAGGUGGUAUGGUCAAUGUGUGGUUUAAAGGAGGAGAGUGACCAGCUAGUUCCGUCAAGGUCUGGAAUCCAGGAGGAGAGAUACCAGCUAGUUCAGUCAAUGUCUGGUUUCUACAAGGAGAGACACCAGCUAGUUCAGUCAAUGUCUGGUUUUCAGGAGGAGAGAGACAAGCUCUCGCAGUCUUCAGUCAAGAAGAUGAGAGACCAACUAAACGAGUCACUCCACAAUCUAGAAGAAGAGAGACCAGUUGAUGCAAUCAAUGUGUGGUUUAAAGGGACAGAGAGACUAGCUAACACAGACACUCAGGCUUCUAGAGCAGGAGAGAGACAAAUUGUCAUCUCUCUGCCUUCAAACAGAAGACAGAGACCCGGUCAAGCAGUUUAAAGAAGAGCGAGAGCAGUUGGUUCAGUCAAUGGAUGUUCUGUGCGAACAGAGAGAGCAUCUCACAGCGGAGAGAGACCAGUUGCAGAUGGACGUCGCUCCUUUACGAUCAGCUGCUGUCACGGGCGGAGUCACAACCAGCAGUACUCUGAGAACCACGUUGGCAUGGCAACACACAUAUGUGGAGCCGCUGCGCCAAAUACGGAGGAUGACGUUGUUCAGAGAAGUCUGGCCACGGUCUACUCCUACAAGACCAUCCGUCUGGGGCAGUCUGCACAGGGAACACUUGGAAGAGAUGACAGAGGUGGAGCAGAAUGAACUGAUGGAGGAGAUCAAGUCAUUGGGGGCAGAACACAGAAGGUCACGAGACGAACUGGAGAAGAACCAAUCAGAGGCUCAGAGCUGAUUGUGUCUGAGGUCAGGCGAGAAGAGGCUGUGAGGAGGGCAGCACACGCAGUCAACGAAGUGAAGAGGAGGUGGAGGAGACGAAGAGGGAGAACAACACACUGAGAGCAGAAGUGAGGGAGGUGAAGAGCAGACUAGCGGGUCUGGAGAGAGAGAGAAGACUGAUGCCAACUUACUCUGGACUCCGAUAGAAGAGAACUUCAACUUGCUUCAGGCUGAACUUAAAGUACAAUGUUCUUCUGAGAAAGAAGAGCCAGACGGAUCUGGACAUAGCUGCUCUGAAGGAUCUCCCUUCCAAGACCAGACACCAGGUUUACUCCAGUCCCCCUCCAGGUCAGGGAAACUCUCCAGGUUACCCCAACCCAAACCUUGCUGCCCUCAAAUGACCCAAGCAUACCCCCAUAACAGCUACCCCUUCUACUACUACUACUACUACUACUACUACUGCCCCCGCUCGGACUGUUAAAGCACGAAGUACCACUACCUCGUUGAACACUGCCCCCACCAAAACUGCCCCUCCAACAAUUACCCUUAAAACUACAGCCCUCACUAAAGCUGCCCCCUCCACCUCUGCUCUGCCCCCCACUGAGAGGCCAUGACUGCCUGAUGAGAACCAUUGUGUCAAGAAGCUCCUCUCCAACUGCCAACCUGAACAAGCGAAAUCAAACAAACCCAGAGCCUCAUGAUUGGCUGGAUGAGCUGGGCUGCAGCAACGGAACCUUUGUGUAUGGAGACAGGAUGGGGAAUUCCACAAGUCUGUAAUGAGCUCCGCAUGCACCAAGCUGGAUCUGUCCGGUCCGGUUCACAUCAGCGUUCAGACCCUGGGCUCCAACGGUCUCUACACUGACAAGAUUCAUGUCAUCUACAGGGGGAAACCAUGCCCAGUUUAGGACAGACCACACCCCUUUCAUCAUAGACCACACCCAUGACACCACAGCUUCCGCUGCUCUUUGCACAGACCACGCCUCCCCAGACUGCAGGACUCCGCCCACACCCCGACACAGUGGCUCCACCCAAUCAAUUUUCAGCCGCACUGUCCAGUUGAAACCUUUCUCACCAGAUUCAGAAGCUCAAACGGUGAAUGGCAGACGAGGUCUGGCUCCUGUUGCCUUCCUAGAGGAAGUUCUUGUUCCAGACAGACAUGUAAGCCCCGAAGGAACAGAUGAUAGGCCACUGUGACUGCCAAUUAGAGAGAGGACAAAAUGAUAGGCCACUUUGACUGCCAAUCAGAGAGAGGACAAGAUGAUGAGCCACUGUGACUGCCAAUCAGAGAGAGGACAAGAUGAUGAGCCACUGUGACUGCCAAUCAGAGAGAAGACAAGAUGAUAGGCCACUGUGACUGCCAAUCAGAGAGAGGACAAGAUGAUGAGCCACUGUGACUGCCAAUCAAAUGAUGCUUCCCUACAGAGAGAUUAUAGUGGCCAACAUUAAUGACGUCAUCAAACGCUGCCUGCCCGUGACAAAAACAUUCAUAAGUGCUCACAGCCUAAAGUCAUUUGAAAUGGAAAGCUACACUAAAGCACUAGCUGAAAUGUGGGUGUGUUUGUGUGUAUGGCCCAGUUUGACAUUGUGCUUCUAUAAACAGAUGCUUUUAACCUACAUCCUGCUCAUUGAGAUCGUGUCAAAUCACCUCUGUGCUUCAAAAUCCCCCACUUUUCUGUGUCUAAUCUCUCGUGGACAGACGCACUUAGCAUAACUGGUAUCCUAGCGUCUGUCAGCAGACUGUGGGAUGCGACGACUAACGAGGAACUUAGUUUCCGGUGAACAGAUUUUUCGUCACUGAUUAUUUUGGACAAAUCACGAUUUCGCAUCUUUCCAUUUUCAGAAGAGGAGGGGACAUUUGGAACAUGGACUUGCCUGUAAAUUGCAACUGGAGAGGAGCCGGCCUGCGUCCCCUCCACGUUCUAGUAUUUAUUUCUAACACAUCUGUCCCCAGAACUUAAUCAAGCAUCUGACACAAUUACGCAAUAUUUUAGUUUUGGGUUUCUGAGAUUAUUCUGUAUGUGACAAGUGUCAAAAACAAAGGUGGGCCUGAUUGAUGUGACAACCUGUCUGUCUGACAACCUGUCUAACAAUCCGUCUGAAAGCCUCUCGAACAUGGCGGUGAUAUCAAGUGAUAAUGUUUUACGUUAUGAUAAAGCAAAGUCAUUUUCACAAGGCCAUUUUACUUGAUCUUUAGGUAUUGAGCCAAAUAUGGGGAAAAAGCUUCAUUCCAAAGACUUUGAUAUUUCUGUUCCUCGUCGUUACGUUUACAGAAAAUGUUUUUGAUCAAAAUCAAAUCAUGAAGUAAAUUGUCUGAGAUGUCCUUCUACUGUAGAAUCGAUUCAAUCUAUGAAAUCAUUUCAUUCAGAUGGAUAGAAGUUUAUGACUGAUAUAUUUUGUAGAGAUUAUUAAAUAACCUGAUGUAUGCAAAUGCAGAGUACUUUAUGUGUGACUUUCAUCUCCUCGUUCUCUGUCUACAGGUCUAACUGACAUUAACUUUUACAUUCUGACCUGAUUCUCUAAAGGCAUCUCAAAUGAAAUGGAGAAAAUACACACAUUCUGUGUUACACAUGAUUACUGCAUACCUGUCUUUAACUGAUAAUGAUGUAUAUGGUUGGGGGAAUGGCCAUGCUGCCACAAAUAUAUUUUUGUAUAAUUCUGUCUUAGAUGUAAUUUGAUUUCCUAAUGAUUCCUUAGGCUGUAUAAAGAGAAUAAAUGUUUAGAGGACACAUCA